ACGAAAUCUGUACAAUGACGUUGACAAUAAGACCUAGGUCUAUCGGACUCCAAAAUAUCCAAUUGGCAAUGAUAUAAGUUUUCUGCGCGUGUAACUAUAUAAAACGUUGCUAGUAAUUUAACAAGUCCGUGCGUGAAGAGAACGAGACGUUUUCACGCCCCAUUGCAAUUUAUUGUUACGUCAAACAGCUGUUUUUUAAAUAACUGUUUAAAUUGCAGUAUUCUUGUUAUCGAUGGCGUCACAGUUUGUAUAGAAAAUAUAAAUUACUAACUAUAAAGAUGCAUACUUAACGGAGGUUGUACUAUGUAUUUUUCACACGGGAUGGGUGUGAUCAGAAAAAUAAAAGCUUACGUUUAAAAAUGGACAAAAAAGAAAAAAAAUUAUAAAAGCUGUGCAAAUCAGCGUUUGG